rnacentral:rRNA from 1 species
GUCUAUGGCCAUGCUACGCUGAACAAGCCCGAUCUCAUCUGAUCUCGGAAGCUAAGCAGGGUUGGGCCUGGUUAGCAUUUGGAUAGGAGAACACCUAGGAAGACCAAGUGCUGUAGGUG